ACCCGCUGAACUUAAGCAUAUCAAUAAGCGGAGGAAAAGAAACCAACAGGGAUUGCCUCAGUAACGGCGAGUGAAGCGGCAACAGCUCAAAUUUGAAAUCUGGCCUCACGGUCCGAGUUGUAAUUUGUAGAGGAUGUUUCGAGUGUGGUCCGGUCUAAGUUCCUUGGAACAGGACGUCAUAGAGGGUGAGAAUCCCGUAUGCGACUGGAUACCUAAUCUCAUGUGAAACUCCUUCGACGAGUCGAGUUGUUUGGGAAUGCAGCUCAAAAUGGGUGGUAAAUUUCAUCUAAAGCUAAAUACUGGCCAGAGACCGAUAGCGCACAAGUAGAGUGAUCGAAAGAUGAAAAGCACUUUGGAAAGAGAGUUAAACAGUACGUGAAAUUGUUGAAAGGGAAGCGCUUGCAACCAGACUUGCACGCAGUCGAUCAUCCGAUGUUCUCACCGGUGCACUCGAUUGUGUUCAGGCCAGCAUCGGUUUUGGUGGUGGGAUAAAGGCCUUGGGAAUGUAGCUUCUUUCGGGGAGUGUUAUAGCCCUCGGUGCAAUGCCGCCUACUGGGACCGAGGACCGCGCUUCGGCUAGGAUGCUGGCGUAAUGGUUGUAAGCGACCCGUCUUGAAACACGG
rnacentral:rRNA from 1 species